GACGAACGCUGGCGGCGUGCUUAACACAUGCCAGUCGAACGGAAAGGCCCUGCUUUUGUGGGGUGCUCGAGUGGCGAACGGGUGAGUAACACGUGAGUAACCUGCCCUUGACUUUGGGAUAACUUCAGGAAACUGGGGCUAAUACCGGAUAGGAGCUCCUGCUGCAUGGUGGGGGUUGGAAAGUUUCGGCGGUUGGGGAUGGACUCGCGGCUUAUCAGCUUGUUGGUGGGGUAGUGGCUUACCAAGGCUUUGACGGGUAGCCGGCCUGAGAGGGUGACCGGCCACAUUGGGACUGAGAUACGGCCCAGACUCCUACGGGAGGCAGCAGUGGGGAAUAUUGCACAAUGGGCGGAAGCCUGAUGCAGCAACGCGGCGUGCGGGAUGACGGCCUUCGGGUUGUAAACCGCUUUCGCCUGUGACGAAGCGUGAGUGACGGUAAUGGGUAAAGAAGCACCGGCUAACUACGUG
rnacentral:rRNA from 1 species